CGGGUGAGUAACGCGUGAGGAACCUGCCUCAAAGAGGGGACAGCAGUUGGAAACGACUGCUAAUACCGCAUAAGCCCACGGCUCGGCAUCGAGCAGAGGGAAAAGGAGCAAUCCGCUUUGAGAUGGCCUCGCGUCCGAUUAGCUAGUUGGUGAGGUAACGGCCCACCAAGGCGACGAUCAGUAGCCGACCUGAGAGGGUGACCGGCCACAUUGGGACUGAGACACGGCCCAA
rnacentral:rRNA from 1 species